rnacentral:rRNA from 1 species
UACAGAGGUCCCAAGCGUUGUUCGGAAUUACUGGGCGUAAAGCGCACGUAGGCGGACUGUUAAGUCGGGGGUGAAAUCCUGGGGCUCAACCUCAGAAUUGCCUCCGAUACUGGCAGUCUCGAGUGCGGGAGAGGUGAGUGGAAUUCCCAGUGUAGAGGUGAAAUUCGUAGAUAUUGGGAAGAACACCAAUGGCGAAGGCGGCUCACUGGCCCGUAACUGACGCUGAGGUGCGAAAGCGUGGGGAGCAAACAGG